rnacentral:rRNA from 1 species
UACGAAGGGGGCUAGCGUUGCUCGGAAUCACUGGGCGUAAAGCGCACGUAGGCGGCUUUUUAAGUCAGAGGUGAAAUCCUGGAGCUCAACUCCAGAACUGCCUUUGAUACUGGAGAGCUUGAGUCCGGGAGAGGUGAGUGGAACUGCGAGUGUAGAGGUGAAAUUCGUAGAUAUUCGCAAGAACACCAGUGGCGAAGGCGGACUCACUGGCCCGGUACUGGACGCUGAGGUGCGAAAGCGUGGGGAG